rnacentral:rRNA from 1 species
GAAAGGGCGAGGAAUACGUUUCUAACGUGCCCCCUGGUCGAGGAUAGCUCGGGGAAACCCGGGGUAAUACUCGAUGAUCCCGUCGGAUCGCAUGGUCUGUCGGGCAAAGGCUUGCUGCCUGGGGAUCGGGAAACGUCCAAUCAGGUUGUUGGUGGGGUAACGGCCUACCAAGCCUUAGACGGGUAGCGGGUGUGAGAGCAUGACCCGCCGCAUCGGGACUGAGACACUGCCCGGACUCCUACGGGAGGCUGCAGCAACGGAUCUUCCGCAAUGCGCGAAAGCGUGACGGAGCAAUGCCGCGUGCGGGAUGAAGCCCCUCGGGGUGUAAACCGCUGUCAGGGUUUAGGAAAUCUGACCAAACCCAGAGGAAGGGCCGGCUAACUUCGUGCCAGCAGCCGCGGUAAUACGAAGGGCCCGAGCGUUAAUCGGAUUCACUGGGCUUAAAGCGUGCGUAGGCGGAUACGUCAGUGUCUUGUGAAAUCCCACGGCUCAACCGUGGAAUGGCAAGGCAUACUGCGUAUCUUGAGGCCGGUAGGGGCUGUCGGAACUCUAGGUGUAGCG